GACGAACGCUGGCGGCGUGCUUAACACAUGCAAGUCGAACGGUGAAGCCCUUCGGGGUGGCUCAGUGGCGAACGGGUGAGUAACACGUGAGCAACCUGCCCCUGGCUCUGGGACAACCACUGGAAACGGUGGCUAAUACCGGAUACGACCCGCCUCGGCAUCGAGUGUGGGUGGAAAGUUUUUCGGCUGGGGAUGGGCUCGCGGCCUAUCAGCUUGUUGGUGAGGUGAAGGCUCACCAAGGCGACGACGGGUAGCCGGCCUGAGAGGGCGACCGGCCACACUGGGACUGAGACACGGCCCAGACUCCUACGGGAGGCAGCAGUGGGGAAUAUUGCACAAUGGGCGAAAGCCUGAUGCAGCGACGCCGCGUGAGGGAUGACGGCCUUCGGGUUGUAAACCUCUUUCAGCUCCGAAGAAGCGAAAGUGACGGUAGGAGCAGAAGAAACACCGGCUAACUACGU
rnacentral:rRNA from 1 species